rnacentral:rRNA from 1 species
GAUGAACGCUGGCGGCGUGCUUAACACAUGCAAGUCGAACGAAGCACUUUAUUUGAUUUCCUUCGGGACUGAUUAUUUUGUGACUGAGUGGCGGACGGGUGAGUAACGCGUGGGUAACCUGCCUUGUACAGGGGGAUAACAGUUGGAAACGGCUGCUAAUACCGCAUAAGCGCACAGCAUCGCAUGAUGCAGUGUGAAAAACUCCGGUGGUAUAAGAUGGACCCGCGUUGGAUUAGCUAGAUGGUGAGGUAACGGCCCACCAAGGCGACGAUCCAUAGCCGACCUGAGAGGGUGACCGGCCACAUUGGGACUGAGACACGGCCCAAACUCCUACGGGAGGCAGCAGUGGGGAAUAUUGCACAAUGGGCGAAAGCCUGAUGCAGCGACGCCGCGUGAGCGAAGAAGUAUUUCGGUAUGUAAAGCUCUAUCAGCAGGGAAGAUAAUGACGGUACCUGACUAAGAAGCACCGGCUAAAUACGUG